UGGGGAAUAUUGCACAAUGGGCGCAAGCCUGAUGCAGCCAUGCCGCGUGUGUGAAGAAGGCCUUCGGGUUGUAAAGCACUUUCAGCGGGGAGGAAGGCGAUAAGGUUAAUAACCUCAUCGAUUGACGUUACCCGCAGAAGAAGCACCGGCUAACUCCGUGCCAGCAGCCGCGGUAAUACGGAGGGUGCAAGCGUUAAUCGGAAUUACUGGGCGUAAAGCGCACGCAGGCGGUCUGUCAAGUCGGAUGUGAGAUCCCCGGGCUCAACCUGGGAACUGCAUUCGAAACUGGCAGGCUAGAGUCUUGUAGAGGGGGGUAGAAUUCCAGGUGUAGCGGUGAAAUGCGUAGAGAUCUGGAGGGAUACCGGUGGCGAGGGCGGCCCCCUGGACAAAGACUGACGCUCAGGUGCGAAAGCGUGGGGAGCAAACAGG
rnacentral:rRNA from 1 species